AGUGAACGCUGGCGGCAGGCCUAACACAUGCAAGUCGAGCGGCAGCGCGGGGGCAACCCUGGCGGCGAGCGGCGGACGGGUGAGGAAUUCGUCGGAAUCUGCCUUUUUGUGGGGGAUAACGUAGGGAAACUUACGCUAAUACCGCAUACGUCCUACGGGAGAAAGUGGGGGACCGCAAGGCCUCACGCAGAAAGAUGAGCCGACGACCGAUUAGCUAGUUGGUGGGGUAAAGGCCCACCAAGGCGACGAUCGGUAGCUGGUCUGAGAGGAUGAUCGGCCACACUGGGACUGGGACACGGCCCAGACUCCUACGGGAGGCAGCAGUGGGGAAUAUUGGACAAUGGGCGCAAGCCUGAUCCAGCCAUGCCGCGUGUGUGAAGAAGGCCUUCGGGUUGUAAAGCACUUUUGUCCGGAAAGAAAUCCCUGGAGCUAAUACCUUCGGGGGAUGACGGUACCGGAAGAAUAAGCACCGGCUAACUUCGUG
rnacentral:rRNA from 1 species